rnacentral:rRNA from 1 species
CAGGAUGAACGCUAGCGGCAGGCUUAACACAUGCAAGUCGAGGGGUAACAGGGAGCUUGCUCUGCUGACGACCGGCGCACGGGUGCGUAACGCGUAUACAAUCUGCCUUACACUAAGGGAUAGCCCAGAGAAAUUUGGAUUAAUACCUUAUAGUUUAUUAGAAUGGCAUCAUUUUAAUAAUAAAGAUUACGGUGUAAGAUGAGUAUGCGUCCCAUUAGUUUGUUGGUAAGGUAACGGCUUACCAAGACUACGAUGGGUAGGGGCCCUGAGAGGGGGAUCCCCCACACUGGUACUGAGACACGGACCAGACUCCUACGGGAGGCAGCAGUGAGGAAUAUUGGACAAUGGGCGAGAGCCUGAUCCAGCCAUGCCGCGUGCAGGAAGACGGUCCUAUGGAUUGUAAACUGCUUUUAUACAGGAAGAAUAAGGACUACGUGUAGUCUGGUGACGGUACUGUAAGAAUAAGGACCGGCUAACUCCGUGCCAGCAGCCGCGGUAAUACGGAGGGUCCGAGCGUUAUCCGGAAUUAUUGGGUUUAAAGGGUCCGUAGGCGGGCUAUUAAGUCAGGGGUGAAAGUUUGCAGCUCAACUGUAGAAUUGCCUUUGAUACUGAUAGUCUUGAAUUAUUGUGAAGUGGUUAGAAUAUGUAGUGUAGCGGUGAAAUGCAUAGAUAUUACAUAGAAUACCGAUUGCGAAGGCAGAUCACUAACAAUAUAUUGACGCUGAUGGACGAAAGCGUGGGUAGCGAACAGGAUUAGAUACCCUGGUAGUCCACGCCGUAAACGAUGGAUACUAGCUGUUCGGUUUUCGGACUGAGCGGCCAAGCGAAAGUGAUAA